UCAAGGUUUGAAAACAUGCUUGAUACUCAUGAAAUAUGUUGAGGGUUAAAAAAACAAGAUCCCAGACAUUAAAAAAAUUCUAAUAAUAAAGUCAUUAUUUAGUUAUUUCAAUUUUCAAUUUGAAACUAUUUGAAUUUCCCACCACACACAACUUUAGAUUAGUUCCACAUGUGGCCGCUAGGGAUUUUUUGAUGACGUAGGUCGUGUCAGUCAGAACAAAGCAAGAUGGCUUCCGCAUACAGUUCAGAGAGUGAGAGCAGUGAAUUUGAGGAUGUUUUGGUCGAUACAGAAGGAUAUUUAAACGUUGAGCCAUACAUGUUCGAGCCAUUGAUAUCACUAGAUCAUAAUGAGAGUGAUCAUUCGGACGAAAGUGAUGAGGAAGUGGAGGAUGAACGCCCUGAACGUGCAGGCAACAGAAAAUGGUGUGACUGUGGAAACUGCACAGCUCAAAUCACUGGAACAGAGUCGAUGUGCUGCAGUGACUAUUCCCCAGUUCUGGCCAAGAAGGAAAGUUAUGAGCCAGAUGGAGUUGCCUGCAUAACUCUGCAUCCCGGAUUCGCAAGCAACUGCCUUGACUGAUAUGUCCUGGAAAGUGCCAUGUAUGAAUUUAUCCAAGAUCAAGGGCCAAUAGGAAAUGAUCAGCCAAUGCACAAGUUAUGGAGAUACCUUGCAUACCGCAGAUUUGUGCGCUGGUGCUGGCAACGUUUGGGCAAAAAGC